rnacentral:rRNA from 1 species
UACGUAGGGUGCAAGCGUUAAUCGGAAUUACUGGGCGUAAAGCGUGCGCAGGCGGUUAUGUAAGACAGAUGUGAAAUGCCCGGGCUUAACCUGGGAACUGCAUUUGUGACUGCAUGGCUAGAGUUUGGCAGAGGGGGGUAGAAUUCCACGUGUAGCAGUGAAAUGCGUAGAUAUGUGGAGGAACACCGAUGGCGAAGGCAGCCCCCUGGGUCAAGACUGGACGCUACAUGCACGAAAGCGUGGGGAGCAAACAGG